rnacentral:rRNA from 2 species
GGUUAAGCGACUAAGCGUACACGGUGGAUGCCCUGGCAGUCAGAGGCGAUGAAGGGCGUGCUAAUCUGCGAUAAGCGCCGGUAAGGUGAUAUGAACCGUUAUAACCGGCGAUACCCGAAUGGGGAAACCCAGUGUGAUUCGUCACACUAUCAUUAACUGAAUCCAUAGGUUAAUGAGGCGAACCGGGGGAACUGAAACAUCUAAGUACCCCGAGGAAAAGAAAUCAACCGAGAUUCCCCCAGUAGCGGCGAGCGAACGGGGAGGAGCCCAGAGCCUGAAUCAGCAUGUGUGUUAGUGGAAGCGUCUGGAAAGGCGCGCGAUACAGGGUGACAGCCCCGUACACAAAAGCGCAUGUGCUGUGAGCUCGAUGAGUAGGGCGGGACACGUGGUAUCCUGUCUGAAUAUGGGGGGACCAUCCUCCAAGGCUAAAUACUCCUGACUGACCGAUAGUGAACCAGUACCGUGAGGGAAAGGCGAAAAGAACCCCGGCGAGGGGAGUGAAAAAGAACCUGAAACCGUGUACGUACAAGCAGUGGGAGCACAGGUUUACCUGUGUGACUGCGUACCUUUUGUAUAAUGGGUCAGCGACUUAUAUUCUGUAGCAAGGUUAACCGAAUAGGGGAGCCGGAGGGAAACCGAGUCUUAAUUGGGCGUUAAGUUGCAGGGUAUAGACCCGAAACCCGGUGAUCUAGCCAUGGGCAGGUUGAAGGUUGGGUAACACUAACUGGAGGACCGAACCGACUAAUGUUGAAAAAUUAGCGGAUGACCUGUGGCUGGGGGUGAAAGGCCAAUCAAACCGGGAGAUAGCUGGUUCUCCCCGAAAGCUAUUUAGGUAGCGCCUCGUGAAUUCAUCUCCGGGGGUAGAGCACUGUUUCGGCUAGGGGGCCAUCCCGGCUUACCAACCCGAUGCAAACUGCGAAUACCGGAGAAUGUUAUCACGGGAGACACACGGCGGGUGCUAACGUCCGUCGUGAAGAGGGAAACAACCCAGACCGCCAGCUAAGGUCCCAAAGUCAUGGUUAAGUGGGAAACGAUGUGGGAAGGCCCAGACAGCCAGGAUGUUGGCUUAGAAGCAGCCAUCAUUUAAAGAAAGCGUAAUAGCUCACUGGUCGAGUCGGCCUGCGCGGAAGAUGUAACGGGGCUAAACCAUGCACCGAAGCUGCGGCAGCGACGCUUAUGCGUUGUUGGGUAGGGGAGCGUUCUGUAAGCCUGUGAAGGUGGCCUGUGAGGGUUGCUGGAGGUAUCAGAAGUGCGAAUGCUGACAUAAGUAACGAUAAAGCGGGUGAAAAGCCCGCUCGCCGGAAGACCAAGGGUUCCUGUCCAACGUUAAUCGGGGCAGGGUGAGUCGACCCCUAAGGCGAGGCCGAAAGGCGUAGUCGAUGGGAAACGGGUUAAUAUUCCCGUACUUGGUGUUACUGCGAAGGGGGGACGGAGAAGGCUAUGUUGGCCGGGCGACGGUUGUCCCGGUUUAAGCGUGUAGGUGUGUGUUCCAGGUAAAUCCGGUUCACUUUAACACUGAGGCGUGAUGACGAGGCACUACGGUGCUGAAGUAACAAAUGCCCUGCUUCCAGGAAAAGCCUCUAAGCAUCAGGUAACAUCAAAUCGUACCCCAAACCGACACAGGUGGUCAGGUAGAGAAUACCAAGGCGCUUGAGAGAACUCGGGUGAAGGAACUAGGCAAAAUGGUGCCGUAACUUCGGGAGAAGGCACGCUGACACGUAGGUGAAGUGAUUUACUCAUGGAGCUGAAGUCAGUCGAAGAUACCAGCUGGCUGCAACUGUUUAUUAAAAACACAGCACUGUGCAAACACGAAAGUGGACGUAUACGGUGUGACGCCUGCCCGGUGCCGGAAGGUUAAUUGAUGGGGUCAGCGCAAGCGAAGCUCCUGAUCGAAGCCCCGGUAAACGGCGGCCGUAACUAUAACGGUCCUAAGGUAGCGAAAUUCCUUGUCGGGUAAGUUCCGACCUGCACGAAUGGCGUAAUGAUGGCCAGGCUGUCUCCACCCGAGACUCAGUGAAAUUGAACUCGCUGUGAAGAUGCAGUGUACCCGCGGCAAGACGGAAAGACCCCGUGAACCUUUACUAUAGCUUGACACUGAACAUUGAGCCUUGAUGUGUAGGAUAGGUGGGAGGCUUUGAAGCGUGGACGCCAGUCUGCGUGGAGCCGACCUUGAAAUACCACCCUUUAAUGUUUGAUGUUCUAACGUGGACCCGUGAUCCGGGUUGCGGACAGUGUCUGGUGGGUAGUUUGACUGGGGCGGUCUCCUCCUAAAGAGUAACGGAGGAGCACGAAGGUUGGCUAAUCCUGGUCGGACAUCAGGAGGUUAGUGCAAUGGCAUAAGCCAGCUUGACUGCGAGCGUGACGGCGCGAGCAGGUGCGAAAGCAGGUCAUAGUGAUCCGGUGGUUCUGAAUGGAAGGGCCAUCGCUCAACGGAUAAAAGGUACUCCGGGGAUAACAGGCUGAUACCGCCCAAGAGUUCAUAUCGACGGCGGUGUUUGGCACCUCGAUGUCGGCUCAUCACAUCCUGGGGCUGAAGUAGGUCCCAAGGGUAUGGCUGUUCGCCAUUUAAAGUGGUACGCGAGCUGGGUUUAGAACGUCGUGAGACAGUUCGGUCCCUAUCUGCCGUGGGCGCUGGAGAACUGAGGGGGGCUGCUCCUAGUACGAGAGGACCGGAGUGGACGCAUCACUGGUGUUCGGGUUGUCAUGCCAAUGGCACUGCCCGGUAGCUAAAUGCGGAAGAGAUAAGUGCUGAAAGCAUCUAAGCACGAAACUUGCCCCGAGAUGAGUUCUCCCUGAGACUUAGAGUCUCCUGAAGGAACGUUGAAGACGACGACGUUGAUAGGCCGGGUGUGUAAGCGCAGCGAUGCGUUGAGCUAACCGGUACUAAUGAACCGUGAGGCUUAACCUU